rnacentral:rRNA from 1 species
AGAGUUUGAUCCUGGUUCAGAACGAACGCUGGCGGCAGGCUUAACACAUGCAAGUCGAACGCUCGUAGCAAUACGGGAGUGGCAGACGGGUGAGUAACGCGUAGGAACAUACCCUCCGGUUCGGAAUAGCUCAGGGAAACUUGGAUUAAUACCGGAUACGGCUGAGAGGCGAGAGAUUAUCGCCGGAGGAUUGGCCCGCGUUCGAUAGCUAGUUGUGAGGUAAGGCUCACCAAGGCUAUGAUCGAUAGCUGGUUGAGAGGAUGAUCAGCCACAUUGGGACUGAGACACGGCCCAAACUCCUACGGGAGGCAGCAGUGGGGAAUAUUGACAAUGGGGCAAGCCUGAUCCAGCCAUGCCGCGUGAGUGAUGACGGCCUUAGGGUUGUAAAGCUCUUUCGCUCGGGACGAUAAUGACGGUACCGAGAUAAGAAGCCCCGGCUAACUUCGUGCCAGCAGCCGCGGUAAUACGAAGGGGGCUAGCGUUGUUCGGAAUUACUGGGCGUAAAGCGCGUGUAGGCGGGUCUUUAAGUCAGGGGUGAAAUGCCAGGGCUCAACCUUGGAACUGCCUUUGAUACUGGAGACCUUGAGUCCGGGAGAGGUGAGUGGAAUUGCGAGUGUAG